AGAUUGAACGCUGGCGGCAUGCCUAACACAUGCAAGUCGAACGGGAGUAGCAAUACUCUAGUGGCGGACGGGUGAGGAAUACGUAGGAAUUUGCCCUUAAGUGGGGGAUAACCCGGGGAAACCCGGAUUAAUACCGCAUGACCUCGAAAGAGCAAAGUGGGGGAUCGCAAGACCUCACGCUUUUGGAGAAGCCUACGUCGGAUUAGCUAGUUGGUGAGGUAAUGGCUCACCAAGGCGACGAUCCGUAACUGGUCUGAGAGGAUGAUCAGUCACACCGGAACUGAGACACGGUCCGGACUCCUACGGGAGGCAGCAGUGGGGAAUAUUGGACAAUGGGCGCAAGCCUGAUCCAGCAAU
rnacentral:rRNA from 1 species